rnacentral:tRNA from 1 species
GGAGGGUAUAGCUCAAUUGGUAGAGCGCGUGCUUAGCAUGCACGAGGCCCUGGGUUCAAUCCCCAGUACCUCCA